UCUUUUCAGAAUUGAGUGGCAAACGGGUGAGUAACACGUAAACAACCUGCCUUCAGGAUGGGGACAACAGACGGAAACGACUGCUAAUACCGAAUAAGUUCCAAGAGCCGCAUGGCCCAUGGAAGAAAAGGUGGCCUCUACCUGUAAGCUAUCGCCUGAAGAUGGCCUCGCGUCUGAUUAGCUAGUUGGUGAGGUAACGGCCCACCAAGGCGACGAUCAGUAGCCGGUCUGAGAGGAUGAACGGCCACACUGGAACUGAGACACGGUCCAGACUCC
rnacentral:rRNA from 1 species